rnacentral:RNase_P_RNA from 2 species
CCAGUCGGCCGGACGACCGCUGCCGCAAGCGCCGAAAGGCCGCGGGGGAGGAAAGUCCGGGCUCCAUGGAAACACGGUGCCGGGUAAUGCCCGGCGGGGGCGACCCCAGGGAAAGUGCCACAGAAAGCAAACCGCCGCGACCCUCGGGUGCGCGGCAAGGGUGAAAGGGUGGGGUAAGAGCCCACCGCGCGGCCGGCAACGUCCGCGGCAUGGUAAACCCCACCGGGAGCAAGACCGAAUAGGGAUGGCGCAGGGCCUUCGGGUCCGGGUCGGUUUCCAGGCCGGCCAUCCGGGUAGGUUGCGCGAGGCGUCCGGCGACGGGCGUCCCAGAUGAAUGGUCGUCACGCGCGGGGUUCCGGCCCCGCGCCAUACAGAACCCGGCUUACAGGCCGACUGGCAUC